GCCUUUCGAUAUCCAACUGCUUUUGAUACCCUUCUAAGGACUCGGGAGGUAAAGGUAAAGGUAUAGCUGGGACAGUUGAUGUUGCAAUCCUUUGUCGUGGGUAUGGCAUCUUCAAUUUAUUGGCUCGAUCAAUAACCCAUUGGACAUAAACUUCAUGGGCGAUAACCGAUCUCUUUCCUAACUGAUUCUUAUCUUUCUUGACAAUGGAAUACCAAGCUUUCUCGAACUGCACUCUUUGAUUUGCAUCAUCUUUUUUGUAGAGGAAGAAAUCCCU
rnacentral:lncRNA from 1 species